rnacentral:lncRNA from 8 species
CUAAGCUGAAUUCUCAUUGGAAGAAUGGAGCGCCAGUCUUUCCUACACGAGUGAACACGCCAAUAGACUCCAGUGGUGACCCCCUUUGGAUACAGAAAUCAAAGGCAAGGAGGCUGAAGUCACUACGCUGGAACUGAAGAUUGCUUUAAACAAGCAAGUCCUUCUAGAAGGUAAACACACAAUUAUUCAUUAGAUUCC